AUUGAACGCUGGCGGCAGGCCUAACACAUGCAAGUCGAACGAGUGGCGGACGUGUGAGUAAUGUCUGGGAAACUGCCCGAUGGAGGGGGAUAACUACUGGAAACGGUAGCUCAUACCGCAUACCAUCGGAUGUUCCCAGAUGGGAUUAGCUAGUAGGUGGGGUAACGGCUCACCUAGGCGACGCUCCCUAGCUGGUCUGAGAGGAUGACCAGCCAGACUGGAACUGAGACAGGGUCCAGACUCCUACGGGAGGCAGCAGUGGGGAAUAUUGCACAAUGGGCGCAAGCCUGAUGAAGCAAUGCCGCGGGUAUGAAGAAGGCCUGCGGGUUGUAAAGUACUUUCAGCGAGGAGGCGUUACUCGCAGAAGAAGCACCGGCUAACUCCGUGCCAGCAGCCGCGGUAAUUC
rnacentral:rRNA from 1 species